rnacentral:misc_RNA from 1 species
GAUGAAGAACGUAGUGAAAUGCGAUAAGUAAUGUGAAUUGCAGAAUUCAGUGAAUCAUCGAAUCUUUGAACGCACAUUGCGCCCCUUGGUAUUCCGAGGGGCAUGCCUGUUCGAGCGUCAUUAUAACCCUCAAGCUCAGCUUGGUGUUGGGGCCUGCUGCACUGGCAGCCCUUAAAAUCAGUGGCGGCGCCAUCUGGCUCUAAGCGUAGUAAUUCUUCUCGCUAUGGAGUCCUGGUGGAUGCUUGCCAUCAACCCCCAAUUUUUCUAUGGUUGACCUCGGAUCAGGUAGGGAUACCCGCUGAACUUAAGUAUAUCAAUAAGCGGAGGA